CAAUUGACCUCAAAGGGCAAAGAAAGGAAUGUAUUCUGGCUUGUUGAUGGACACCCAGAGGUCCGUGGGGGGUUUAAAAGGGGCUGCAGCGUGGCUCAGUAGGGUGGACCACGUGGAGCUCAGGCGGUGGAGAUGGCGAGUAGAUCUGAGGCGGUUUACAGCGGUUUACCUGCUGGUGGCUGACGAUAUGUCGCCACGUGAGGCCGGUGUGGUGAAUGGCCUGCUGGGGCCAUUUUAGUCUCGAUGCUGGGCACAUGGCCUGUUAACUGACACCGUGAGGACAGCGGAUGUGCUUGAACACGCCGUGUUCACACCAGUUCCAGGUGGAUAUAAACGGCUUGGAUAACAUGCUGGAAGUCCAUGGAACGACGCGUCAUGUAAUGGAAGUGCAGAAACCUCAGUGCACAGGAGGAAGUCAUGGUUUUGUUUCCAUUCAGUGUGCAUGGCUUUAAAAAGCACAGCACACUUUGUAUCGCCUGUUUCUUGUUUAUCAGUAGCUUCAUUAAUCAUAGAGCAACACUAAGCUUUCUUUAAAGGUGUCCAAACCUGUGACCUUCAAAGAUCCUACGAAGAUGGGCACCCUGUGUGCCGGCCAGCGCAGUCAUACUACUUCAGUUAAGAGCUCUGUGACUUGCUCAGUGUCAAAGUUUGCUUGUCUUGAUUUGAAUAAAAUCUUGGAAAAUCUUUCAAA